CUUUGCAAAGUGUCUGAGACAAACAAGAAAAAAAUACGAUUUGUCAUCUCACCCUACCGCCACUCAAAAAAGAAGAGGGCUUCCCUGGUUUCGAGGAGAGUAGAGCUGAAGAAAAAGAGAAAAAGAGAGUCUGCAUCUGGCAUCCAGGCAUAGGAGUCCUUGCAGAGA
rnacentral:lncRNA from 1 species